GGGGUGACACUGUAUCUGGUGCGCUGUGGAUAGCUCAAAUAACCCUGGUGCAGUGCUGUCCUGGCGUUACACCCAUUCCAAGGAUUGAUCUUACCACACCUGCAGGGAGCUAAGCUCGUAAACGCACCCGUUCAGAUGGAGCGUGGGCACAUGUCAGGGUCCCUCUUUGCUUGCAGAGGGUGGAACGCCUCUCCCAGAGUUUGCAGAAGAGCCAGGAAGCAAUCCAGGAAUCCUGGUUGCCCAGGAUCCCUGCUAGAGCCACACAGUCUGGUUGGAACAGGCGGUGGAAGGAGGCCAGGAAGGAGCCAUGGGUCCACAGGGCAAAACGUCCACUUGCACGCGUGAGAGGGCCGACGGCAUCAAGGCAGAAUGAUCCCACUUCAUUCAACAAAGUGAAGAACCCUGGAAACUGGUGGAUAUUUUCUGUUGUAGGAGUCCCUGUUUACAAAAGGCCACAAACCACUGAGACAAGCCUGGACACGGCCCAGCUCUCGAUGUCGGGAUCGUUUUUGAAGGACCCUGGGGAACUGAAGUUGCUAUGAUGCCUUCUCUCCCAAGCUUCCAAGCAGGCCAAUGGAACGGCCUCUUAUUAUGACAUUUUAAGGGUAUCUCUUUCCCACAGGCUGUUUCCGUGGCCCAUCUGUAAUGGAUCCCCACCGAGGGGACGCCCAGCGCGGUUGGACAGCUGGGUGUAUCCACACUCUUGCUGUGUGCUCGCUGCCUGGUGCUGAUCAGCACAGCUGAGUUUAGACUCCGCUGUGACGUCCGCUGGGCUCCUGCCCUGCCCAUGGGUCGUGGCUUUUACGCUACUUUUAGUCACUAAUGGUAGCGAUGGUGGUCACUACGGGAAACAGCGAUGCUGAAGCUCUGAGGCAAAGAAGGUCCCCAUUCCAUGUGUUCAGUGAACCUUCCAGGUCAAUGGAGAACUGAUGGAGAAGAAAAGUGCCUCAUGGUUUUUGAACCCCUCCAGGGAUGGAGUCUCCACCACUGCACUGGGCAGCCUCUGCCUGUGCUUCACCACUCUUUCAGUAAAGAAAUUUUUCACGUUAUCCAAUCUAAACCUCUCCUGGUGCAACUUGAGGCCAUUUGCUUUCAUCCUAUCGCUUGUCCCUUGGGAGAAGAGCCCAGCACCCACCCCAACACAACCUCCCUUCUGGGAGCUGCAGAGAGCGAUGAGGUCUCCCCUCAGCCUCCUCUUCUCCAGGUUAAUGAGCCCCGGGGUCCCUCAGUCGCUCCCAGAAGCUCUGGGCUCCAGAUUCUUCCCCG